CGGGACCCCCCCGCCCCCCCAGCGCCACUUCUGCGCCGUCUGCGGCCUCCCCUCCCACUACACCUGCGUGAGCUGCGGGGCCCGGUACUGCUGCGUGCGGUGCCUGGGCACCCACCAGGAGACCCGGUGCCUGAAGUGGACGGUUUAGCUCUGCCCGGGUGGGCCCCCAAGCCUGGGGGCCCCCAAUCCUGCUGUUUUGGGGAGCACUGGAGCUGCCUGUCAAUAAACACUCCUUCCCCGA